rnacentral:rRNA from 1 species
CAAGUCGAACGGCAGCACGGACUUCGGUCUGGUGGCGAGUGGCGAACGGGUGAGUAAUGCAUCGGAACGUGCCAUUGAGUGGGGGAUAACGUAGCGAAAGUUGCGCUAAUACCGCAUAUUCUGUGAGCAGGAAAGCAGGGGACCGCAAGGCCUUGCGCUCUUUGAGCGGCCGAUGUCAGAUUAGCUAGUUGGUGAGGUAAAGGCUUACCAAGGCGACGAUCUGUAGCGGGUCUGAGAGGAUGAUCCGCCACACUGGAACUGAGACACGGUCCAGACUCCUACGGGAGGCAGCAGUGGGGAAUUUUGGACAAUGGGGGCAACCCUGAUCCAGCCAUGCCGCGUGAGUGAAGAAGGCCUUCGGGUUGUAAAGCUCUUUCGGCCGGGAAGAAAUCGCAUGGGCCAAUACCCUGUGUGGAUGACGGUACCGGAAUAAGAAGCACCGGCUAACUACGUGCCAGCAGCCGCGGUAAUACGUAGGGUGCGAGCGUUAAUCGGAAUUACUGGGCUAAAGCGUGCGCAGGCGGUUUAGUAAGACAGGCGUGAAAUCCCCGGGCUUAACCUGGGAACUGCGUUUGUGACUGCAAGGCUAGAGUACGGCAGAGGGGGGUGGAAUUCCACGUGUAGCAGUGAAAUGCGUAGAGAUGUGGAGGAACACCAAUGGCGAAGGCAGCCCCCUGGGUCGAUACUGACGCUCAUGCACGAAAGCGUGGGUAGCAAACAGGAUUAGAUACCCUGGUAGUCCACGCCCUAAACUAUGUCAACUAGGUGUUGGGUGGGUAAAACCAUUUAGUACCGUAGCUAACGCGUGAAGUUGACCGCCUGGGGAGUACGGCCGCAAGGUUAAAACUCAGAGGAAUUGACGGGGACCCGCACAAGCGGUGGAUGAUGUGGAUUAAUUCGAUGCAACGCGAAAAACCUUACCUACCCUUGACAUGCCAGGAACUUGCCAGAGAUGGCUUGGUGCCCGAAAGGGAGCCUGGACACAGGUGCUGCAUGGCUGUCGUCAGCUCGUGUCGUGAGAUGUUGGGUUAAGUCCCGCAACGAGCGCAACCCUUGUCGUUAAUUGCCAUCAUUUGGUUGGGCACUUUAACGAGACUGCCGGUGACAAACCGGAGGAAGGUGGGGAUGACGUCGAGUCCUCAUGGCCCUUAUGGGUAGGGCUUCACACGUCAUACAAUGGUUGGUACAAAGGGUUGCCAAGCCGCGAGGCGGAGCCAAUCCCAGAAAGCCGAUCGUAGUCCGGAUUGCAGGCUGCAAC